UCUAGGUUUCAAGCGAUUGAAUUAAAAAGGAACACAUGUGAAAGACAUGGGCUGCCCCAGCAACUGUAAUGCUGACGAGAUUAUAUAUAUGCCAUUGGGAAACUGAGAAGGCUUAAUCGAGGAUGAUGCAAAGCCAGGAGACUUGCCUGAAUAAUUU
rnacentral:ncRNA from 1 species